GGUGCAGGAAUCAUGCUUUCUGCACCGCCCGAGGAUGGGGCUGCGGCCGAUCAGGUAGUUGGUGAGGUAACGGCUCACCAAGCCUAUAACCGGUACGGGCCGUGAGAGCGGGAGCCCGGAGAUGGGCACUGAGACAAGGGCCCAGGCCCUACGGGGCGCAGCAGGCGCGAAAACUCCGCAAUGCGCGCAAGCGUGACGGGGCUACCCCGAGUGCCGCCCGCUGAGGGUGGCUUUUCCCCAGUGUAAACAGCUGGGGGAAUAAGGGGAGGGCAAGUCGGGUGUCAGCCGCCGCGGUAAUACCNNNNNNNNNNNNNNNNNNNNNNNNNNNNNNNNNNGUCGAACUGCGGGAGAUACUACCAAGCUAGGGGGCGGGAGAGGCCGGCGGUAUUCCCGGGGUAGGGGUGAAAUCCUAUAAUCCUAGAAGGACCACCAGUGGCGAAGGCGGUCGGCUAGAACGCGCCCGACGGUGAGGGACGAAAGCUGGGGGAGCGAACCGGAUUAGAUACCCGGGUAGUCCCAGCCGUAAACGAUGCAGGCUAGGUGUUAGCGUGACUACGGGUCACGCUAGUGCCGCAGGGAAACCGUUAAGCCCGCCGCCUGGGGAGUACGGUCGCAAGACUGAAACUUAAAGGAAUUGGCGGGGGAGCACCACAAGGGGUGAAGCUUGCGGUUCAAUUGGAGUCAACGCCGGGAAACUUACCGGGGCAGACAGCAGGAUGAAGGCCAGAUUGAAGGUCUUGCCAGACAAGCUGAGAGGAGGCGCAUGGCCGUCGCCAGUUCGUGCCGUGAGGUGUCCUGUUAAGUCAGGCAACGAUCGAGACCCACGCCUCUUGUUGCCAGCGGCACUCCAAAAGGAGGCCGGGCACACUAGAGGGACUGCCGCCGAUAAGGCGGAGGAAGGAGUGGGCCACGGCAGGUCAGUAUGCCCCGAAUUCCCCGGGCCACACGCGAGCUGCAAUGGCAGGGACAAUGGGAUCCGACCUCGAAAGGGGAAGGUAAUCCUUAAACCCUGCCUCAGUUGGGAUCGAGGGCUGUAACCCGUCCUCGUGAAUCAUGGAAUCCCUAGUAAUCGCGCGUCAUCAGCGCGCGGUGAAUACGUCCCCGCUCCUUGCACACACCGCCCGUCGCUCCAUCCGAGUGAAGUCUGGAUGAGGCAUAGUCCAAAGGGCUGUGUCGAAUCUAGAUUUCGCAAGGAGGGAGAAGUCGUAACAAGGUGGCCGUAGGGGAACCUGCGGCCGGAUCACCUCCU
rnacentral:rRNA from 1 species